AGAUAGGGNUUUCCCUUCGGGGACAGAGUGACAGGUNNUGCAUGGUUGUCGUCAGCUCGUGUCGUGAGAUGUUGGGUUAAGUCCCGCAACGAGCGCAACCCUUGAUCUUAGUUGCCAGCAUUUAGUUGGGCACUCUAAGGUGACUGCCGGUGACAAACCGGAGGAAGGUGGGGAUGACGUCAAAUCAUCAUGCCCCUUAUGACCUGGGCUACACACGUGCUACAAUGGAUGGAACAAAGGGCAGCGAAGCCGCGAGGCCAAGCAAAUCCCAUAAAACCAUUCUCAGUUCGGAUUGCAGGCUGCAACUCGCCUGCAUGAAGCCGGAAUCGCUAGUAAUCGCGGAUCAGCAUGCCGCGGUGAAUACGUUCCCGGGUCUUGUACACACCGCCCGUCACACCACGAGAGUUGGUAACACCCGAAGUCGGUGAGGUAACCUUUUGGAGCCAGCCGCCGAAGGUGGGACCAAUGAUUGGGGUGAAGUCGUA
rnacentral:rRNA from 1 species